AUUGAACGCUGGCGGCAUGCCUCACACAUGCAAGUCGAACGGCAGCACGGGUGCUUGCACCUGGUGGCGAGUGGCGAACGGGUGAGUAAUGCACCGGAACGUACCCGGCAGUGGGGGAUAACGUAGCGAAAGUUACGCUAAUACCGCAUAUUCUGUGAGCAGGAAAGAGGGGGAUCGCAAGACCUCGCGCUUGCGGAGCGGCCGGGGUCGGAUUAGCGAGUUGGCGGGGUAAGAGCCCACCAAGGCGACGAUCCGUAGCGGGUCUGAGGGGAUGAUCCGCCACACUGCGACUGAGACACGGCCCAGACUCCUACGGGAGGCAGCAGUGGGGAAUUUUGGACAAUGGGCGCAAGCCUGAUCCAGCCAUGCCGCGUGAGUGAAGAAGGCCUUCGGGUUGUAAAGCUCUUUCGGCUGGGAAGAAAUCGCAUCUCCUAAUACGGGGUGUGAAUGACGGUACCAGCAUAAGAAGCACCGGCUAACUACGUGCCAGCAGCCGCAGUAAUCC
rnacentral:rRNA from 1 species